rnacentral:rRNA from 1 species
GAUGAACGCUGGCGGCGUGCCUAACACAUGCAAGUCGAACGGAGUUUAUGAAGUUUUCGGACGGAUUAAACUUAGUGGCGGACGGGUGAGUAACGCGUGGGUAACCUGCCUCAUACAGGGGGAUAACAGCCGGAAACGGCUGCUAAAACCGCAUAACAUUGCGACGGCGCAUGCCGAUGCAAUUAAAUAUUUAUAGGUAUGAGAUGGGCCCGCGUCUGAUUAGCUAGUUGGUAGGGUAACGGCCUACCAAGGCGACGAUCAGUAGCCGGCUUGAGAGAGUGACCGGCCACAUUGGGACUGAGACACGGCCCAAACUCCUACGGGAGGCAGCAGUGGGGAAUAUUGCACAAUGGGGGAAACCCUGAUGCAGCGACGCCGCGUGAGUGAAGAAGUAUUUCGGUAUGUAAAGCUCUAUCAGCAGGGAAGAAAUUGACGGUACCUGACUAAGAAGCCCCGGCUAACUACGUG